AGGUUCAGCGUAUGAAAUUUGUUGUAGGCGACCAGAACGAGGCCCUUGUGGAAGACACGGAAUACCAGGACACCUACGUCAUUCUCGUCGUCAAGCUGAUGGUUUCCGAAGCCGAGCGGGAGUGGCAAAAGCUCACCUGGAAUCGACCGGAGUUCACCAACGACGUGCCAUAUUCUUCCCUAGAAGUGUCAUACGAUCCAAUAUACAACACAGUGG